rnacentral:rRNA from 1 species
AUUGAACGCUGGCGGCAGGCCUAACACAUGCAAGUCGAACGGUAACAGGAAGCAGCUUGCUGCUUCGCUGACGAGUGGCGGACGGGUGAGUAAUGUCUGGGAAGCUGCCUGAUGGAGGGGGAUAACUACUGGAAACGGUAGCUAAUACCGCAUAAUGUCGCAGGACCAAAGAGGGGGACCUUCGGGCCUCUUGCCAUCGGAUGUGCCCAGAUGGGAUUAGCUUGUUGGUGGGGUAACGGCUCACCAAGGCGACGAUCCCUAGCUGGUCUGAGAGGAUGACCAGCCACACUGGAACUGAGACACGGUCCAGACUCCUACGGGAGGCAGCAGUGGGGAAUAUUGCACAAUGGGCGCAAGCCUGAUGCAGCCAUGCCGCGUGUAUGAAGAAGGCCUUCGGGUUGUAAAGUACUUUCAGCGGGGAGGAAGGGAGUAAAGUUAAUACCUUGGCUCAUUGACGUUACCCGCAGAAGAAGCACCGGCUAACUCCGUG